rnacentral:sRNA from 1 species
UACACAAACAACGCCAUCGUUUUUUAGU